AAGACCUUGCGCUUUUGGAGCGGCCGAUGCCUGAUUAGCUAGUUGGUGGGGUAAUGGCCUACCAAAGCUUCGAUCAGUAGCUGGUCUGAGAGGACGGCCAGCCACACUGGGACUGAGACACGGCCCAGACUCCUACGGGAGGCAGCAGUGGGGAAUUUUGGACAAUGGGCGCAAGCCUGAUCCAGCCAUGCCGCGUGAGUGAAGAAGGCCUUCGGGUUGUAAAGCUCUUUCAGCCGGGAAGAAAAGGUUGCGAUUAAUAAUCGCAAUUUAUGACGGUACCGGAAGAAGAAGCACCGGCUAACUACGUGCCAGCAGCCGCGGUAAUACGGAGGGUGCGAGCGUUAAUCGGAAUUACUGGGCGUAAAGGGUGCGCAGGCGGUUUUGUAAGUCAGAUGUGAAAUCCCCGGGCUUAACCUGGGAACU
rnacentral:rRNA from 1 species